UACGAAGGGGGCUAGCGUUGCUCGGAAUUACUGGGCGUAAAGGGCGCGUAGGCGGGUCGUUUAGUUAGAGGUGAAAGCCCCAGGGCUCAACCCUGGAAUUGCCUUUAAUACUGGCGGCCUUGAGUAUGGCAGAGGUGUGUGGAACUCCGAGUGUAGAGGUGAAAUUCGUAGAUAUUCGGAAGAACACCAGUGGCGAAGGCGACUUACUGGACACAUAUUGACGCUGAGGUGCGAAAGCGUGGGGAGCAAACAGG
rnacentral:rRNA from 1 species